GUUUUCGGAUCGUAAAGCUCUGUUGUUAAGGAAGAACGAGUGUGAGAAUGGAAAGUUCAUACUGUGACGGUACUUAACCAGAAAGGGACGGCUAACUACGUGCCAGCAGCCGCGGUAAUACGUAGGUCCCGAGCGUUGUCCGGAUUUAUUGGGCGUAAAGCGAGCGCAGGCGGUUAGAAAAGUCUGAAGUGAAAGGCAGUGGCUCAACCAUUGUAGGCUUUGGAAACUGUUUAACUUGAGUGCAGAAGGGGAGAGUGGAAUUCCAUGUGUAGCGGUGAAAUGCGUAGAUAUAUGGAGGAACACCGGUGGCGAAAGCGGCUCUCUGGUCUGUAACUGACGCUGAGGCUCGAAAGCGUGGGGAGCGAACAGGAUUAGAUACCCUGGUAGUCCACGCCGUAAACGAUGAGUGCUAGGUGUUGGGUCCUUUCCGGGACUCAGUGCCGCAGCUAACGCAUUAAGCACUCCGCCUGGGGAGUACGACCGCAAGGUUGAAACUCAAAGGAAUUGACGGGGGCCCGCACAAGCGGUGGAGCAUGUGGUUUAAUUCGAAGCAACGCGAAGAACCUUACCAGGUCUUGACAUCCCGAUGCUAUUUCUAGAGAUAGGAAGUUUCUUCGGAACAUCGGUGACAGGUGGUGCAUGGUUGUCGUCAGCUCGUGUCGUGAGAUGUUGGGUUAAGUCCCGCAACGAGCGCAACCCUUAUUGUUAGUUGCCAUCAUUAAGUUGGGCACUCUAGCGAGACUGCCGGUAAUAAACCGGAGGAAGGUGGGGAUGACGUCAAAUCAUCAUGCCCCUUAUGACCUGGGCUACACACGUGCUACAAUGGCUGGUACAACGAGUCGCAAGCCGGUGACGGCAAGCUAAUCUCUGAAAGCCAGUCUCAGUUCGGAUUGUAGGCUGCAACUCGCCUACAUGAAGUCGGAAUCGCUAGUAAUCGCGGAUCAGCACGCCGCGGUGAAUACGUUCCCGGGCCUUGUACACACCGCCCGUCACACCACGAGAGUUUGUAACACCCGAAGUCGGUGAGGUAACCGUAAGGAGCCAGCCG
rnacentral:rRNA from 1 species